AAGAGGGGUAUAUACGUAUAUAUCAUCGCACGGUGUGUCCCGGAAGGCUUGAUAUGCUAGUCCCGCGGGACAAGGCGAGCCGAGGAGUUUGUGUGGAAGUUUGCAUCUGAGAGUGCGAGAGCUGGACGGAGUGUUACAGAGCCGCGAUGCCUUCUCGUUUUGUUUUGUUUUGUUUUUGAUACAGUGUCUCGCUCUUCCGCCCAGUCUCGAGUGCAGUGGUGAGAACACGGCUUACUGCAGCCUCAAAAUCCUGGACCCAAAAGAUCCUCCCACCUCAGCCUGCCUCCCAGGUAGCUGGGACUACAGGCGCACAACACCAUCGCUUCUUGGAUUAAAAGAAAAGGAUGAAACGGGCCCCAGAAAGAGGCGGUGACGUCCCAGAACCCAUGGCAGGGGAGUUGGGAAAAUAAAUAUUUGUAUUGUUUUAA
rnacentral:lncRNA from 10 species